rfam:Sulfolobus solfataricus P2, complete genome.
GCCGCCGUAGCUCAGCCUGGUUAGAGCGCCGGCCUCGUACCCAAAGUGAGAUAGCCGGCGGUCGCGGGUUCGAAUCCCGCCGGCGGCU